UCUUAGAUAUAUAUAAACAAAACCAAAUAUGGAGUUUUCUAUUACAUUUACCUUUCUCUCGUUGAUGAUCCUGACCAAGUCGUUCGGAAUCGAUGGAACAAAUCAUUUUAUUUGCAAAACAAUUGAGGAGGCGUUUCAGAAAGUCAAAUUGACAGUGGCGAUGCUUCAAGUCACUCUACAAUACAGCACAUUCAAGGGAGCCAGGAAAGAGACAGGAAUACAAGGAAUGAAAGGAGAGAUAGGACCACCGGGAAAUGUGAAUUAUGAAGCUAUCGAUUUGAAAUUGGAAAGCGAGGUUGAUCAAAAAAUGCAAGAAUCAAUGAGAGAAUAUGGAUCAACAGUUGCAGAAUUACAAAAGAAGUUAGAAAGUUGAAACAACGACAAGAUUUGUGCAAGGUGCUCUACGCUGACAAAUGUUUCUGGUUCGUUCUUCAUAAUACCCAAGAUGUAACAUAUUCUCAAAUUAACGAACUUUGUGCUCAAGAAGGUGGAACGCCGGCAAACAUCUACGGAAGAAAUCAUUUUGAAGAGUUAAAUGCAUAUGUGGAUUCGAUCGCCCAGCAUAAAACGUUUUUCACUGGAAUGACCAUUAAUAACUCGAACAAAAUCAUCACGAUGAAUAACGGGAUUAAAGCAAGUUGGACUGUUGCAGAUAUGAAGUGGUACCCCAAUCACCCGUCAGGCAAUGCCGACUGGACUGUACUUGCUAUUCACACUGACCGCAAUCCAGGGGCUUCACAAGGAAUGCACAACUGGCCUAAAAGUUAUAGGAGGCAUGGAGUUUUUGUGAAAAAUAAACACCAUAAAAACUGAUGAGUGAUAACACUUGAAAUUAUUCUGAAUUUACAAGCAGAAUAAAGCAAAAGUUGAAAGUUUGAAUAUAAUAGCAGCAACAACUUAAUCACUUUUUUCUAAUUUGUAUUAUAUAAUCGUAAAUAAAAAUUUUAUCACCAAUACAUAUUU